AGUGAACGCUGGCGGUAUGCCUAACACAUGCAAGUCGAACGGCAGCACAGUAGGAGCUUUCUCUGACUGGUUUCGAGUGGCGGACGGGUGGGGAAUACAUCGUAAUCUACUGUGGCGUGGGGGAUAACGUAGGGAAACUUACUCUAAUACCGCAUAAGACCUACGGUGAAAAUCAGUGGAUCUUCGCACCUUGCUCAAUUGAAUGAGCCGAUGUGGUAUUAGCUAGUUGGCGGGGUAAAGGCCCACCAAGGCGACGAUCCGUAUCUGGUCUGAGAGGAUGAUCAGCCACACUGGAACUGAGACACGGUCAAGCCUCCUACGGGAGGAAGCAGUGGGGAAUAUUGGCCAAUGGGGGAAAGCCUGCUCCAGCCAUACCGCGUGGGUGAAGAAGGUCUUCGGGUUGUAAAGCCCUUUUGUUGGGAAAGACAAGCAGCAGGUUAAUAAGCCGCUGUUCUGACGGUACCUAAAGAAUAAGCACCGGCUAACUUCGUG
rnacentral:rRNA from 1 species